rnacentral:misc_RNA from 1 species
AAGUCGUAACAAGGUCUCCGUUGGUGAACCAGCGGAGGGAUCAUUACAGAGUUGCAAAACUCCCCAAACCAUUGUGAACCUACCCAAAGAACCGUUGCUUCGGCGGGCGGCGCCCGGGCCUUCCCCGGGCGCCCGCCGGAGGAUUUACACAACACCCUGUUGCUCUGUACGGCCUCUCUGAGUCUCUGUACUUGAAUAAGUCAAAACUUUCAACAACGGAUCUCUUGGUUCUG